rnacentral:rRNA from 1 species
GAUGAACGCUAGCGGCAGGCUUAACACAUGCAAGUCGAGGGGCAGCAUAAUGGAUAGCAAUAUCUAUGGUGGCGACCGGCGCACGGGUGCGUAACGCGUAUGCAACCUACCUUUAACAGGGGGAUAACACUGAGAAAUUGGUACUAAUACCCCAUAAUAUCAUAGAAGGCAUCUUUUAUGGUUGAAAAUUCCGAUGGUUAGAGAUGGGCAUGCGUUGUAUUAGCUAGUUGGUGGGGUAACGGCUCACCAAGGCGACGAUACAUAGGGGGACUGAGAGGUUAACCCCCCACACUGGUACUGAGACACGGACCAGACUCCUACGGGAGGCAGCAGUGAGGAAUAUUGGUCAAUGGACGCAAAGUCUGAACCAGCCAUGCCGCGUGCAGGAUGACGGCUCUAUGAGUUGUAAACUGCUUUUGUACGAGGGUAAACGCAGAUACGUGUAUCUGUCUGAAAGUAUCGUACGAAUAAGGAUCGGCU